GCUCAUGGGGUGUCCCUCCCUUUCGAGGGACGCCACCUAGUCGGGGGAAGCAGAGAGGCAGCCUAGGAAGGUGGGGAAGGCAACAUCAGAGUUUCGGCCGCAAGGCAACGUCGAUUGUGUGUUAGAUGUCGACUCUUCGUCGACCCAUCGCGCCGUUGCGUCCGGUGGAGACAGCACACACUAUACGCCUAUACCGACUAGGCAUACAAGCCUGUAGCUGACAGACCGAGGUAGUUUUAUACCGUUUUCCAGGGUUUACCAGUACUCCGGCGCAGUAUUUAUAGGGCUUCAUGGACAACCAUCUAUACAAAAACCAUCGGAUUGUGAUUACCGCGUGGCAACUCGGCGAAGCGCAGUGGGUCAGCGAGUAUCACAUAGUUGG
rnacentral:misc_RNA from 1 species